UGGGGAAUCUUCCGCAAUGGACGAAAGUCUGACGGAGCAACGCCGCGCGAGUGAAGAAGGUUUUCGGAUCGUAAAACUCUGUCUUUUGGGGCGAACGUGAGUAUGGUGAACAAUCAUAGUCAGUGACGGUACCAAAGGAGGAAGCCACGGCUAACUACGUGCCAGCAGCCGCGGUAAUACGUAGGUGGCAAGCGUUGUCCGGAAUUAUUGGGCGUAAAGAGCGCGUAGGCGGGAUAGUCAGUCUGUUGUAAAGUGCGGGGCUCAACCCCGUGAUCGCAAUGGAAACAGCUAUUCUUGAGUGCAGGAGAGGAAAGUGGAAUUCCCAGUGUAGCGGUGAAAUGCGUAGAUAUUGGGAGGAACACCAGUGGCGAAGGCGACUUUCUGGACUGUGUCUGACGCUGAGGCGCGAAAGCCAGGGGAGCGAACGGGAUUAGAUACCCCGGUAGUCCUGGCUGUAAACGAUGGGUACUAGGUGUGGGAGGUAUCGACCCCUUCCGUGCCGGAGUUAACGCAAUAAGUACCCCGCCUGGGGAGUACGGUCGCAAGA
rnacentral:rRNA from 1 species